rnacentral:lncRNA from 1 species
GAAUUUUAAAAAGUGGAAACAGAGAGAAGAAGGGAAUUUAACCCCCAGGGAAAUUUUCUGCACCGUAAAAUCAGACACAGCUUUAAAAUUCAAUGUUUUCUUUCUCUGAAGAUACCCAGGACAGUUUGUCUCUGUUGUUUUUCAUCAUAUAAAUUGCUUUGCUCGAAAGGCAAGUGGGAGUAAAUAUAGCAGCAGUAUCUCUGAUGUAACAUUUACUGACCUGGCCUGGACAUGUCCUUGACACUGUCCUUUAGAAAGGAAAGAGAAGGAGAGAAACUAUGUUCCUGCUGCUGUGUGUAGGAGAAAUGCCUAUUCCUGGCCAUUAUCAGGGUUCAGGGGACUGAGGGCUGAUGAGUACAGAGAAUAAAAAUAAAGAAGUAAAAGAUGGUAGUGACUUAUCAGCUUUCCUGCAUUUGGCUGUCCCUGGCAGGUGGGCCAGAGCCAGGGCCAGUCAACAGCAGUAUUUACUGAGGUGGAGGUGGCCAGAUGCUCCUGCUGGAAACCACGAGGGGUUCAAGUUCCAGACCAGUUGCAUUUUGAAAAGUGUCCUGCCUAAAAUGUUUUGGAACAACACUCUACCUGAGAGCUGUGCCCAGGAGUUUGGGGCAGUGAUGUGCAAUGAAGUGAAAGGGAUCCACGAUGGAGCAAAUGGCUGGUGAAGAACCAAGGAUGCAGCGGGGACCUGGGAAGAAUGUGUGAUUUCAACGAGGAGGAGGACAACACAGAGGGACCCACACCAGUCCUUCUCUCCUUGCUCCACUUACACCAGAGUAGGAGAGGAUCAAGAUAGUCCUAACUAAUUGUGAUAAUCCCUGUACUUUUGGUGGGUGUUAAAAUCAUGUAUGGGCUACCACUUGUUAUUACCUUGGUAAGGGGUCCUAAGGGGGUGGAAGAUGAUUAUUUGUUCUUCAACUGCCUUUCUUCACCCUAAAAUAGCUUUGCACAUCAUGACUGUAUACAGAGAUUUGGAGGCAUUAACUCAAAUAAUUGUGAUAAUAUUUUUACAAACUGAAAAAUGUCUGAACUUCAUGAUCCGAGGAGUAAAGGACUUCUGAGAUAAAAAUGUGUAAAAUCUGGAGUUCCCGUCGUGGCGCAGUGGUUAACGAAUCCGACGAGGAACCAUGAGGUUGCGGGUUCGGUCCCUGCCCUUGCUCAGUGGGUUAACGAUCACUGCAUUGCAGUGAGCUGUUGCAGACGCGGCUCGGAUCCCGCCUUGCUGUGGCUCUGGUGUAGGCCUGCGGCUACAGCUCCAAUUCGACCCCUAGCCUGGGAACCUCCAUAUGCCUCGGGAGCAGCCCAAAGAAAUAGCAAAAAGCCAAAAAUAAAUAAAUAAAUAAAAAUUUUUUAAAAAUGUGU